rnacentral:lncRNA from 10 species
CUCCCCGACCGAGCUGGUCUCGGCAACUUUCCUCUGCACCUGUGGUUUAAGAUAAAGAGAAAUCAUGGAGUCCUGAGACUUAGGUGUCUGGGAAUCUAAAAGGAGGGGGUGAUCGGGAGCGGGGCUCACAACUGUAAUCCCAGCACUUUCGGAGGCUGAGGUGGGAGGAUCACUUGAGUCCAGGAGUUCAGGACCAGCCUGGGCAACAUAGUGAAACCCCAUCUGGUGACGCGCCCCUGUAAUCCCAGCUACUGGGAGGCUGAGGUGGGAGAAUUGCUUGAACCCAGGAGGUGGAAGCUGCAGUGAGCCGAGAUCGCACCACUGCACUCCAGCAGCCUGGGCAAUAGAGCAAGACCCUGUCUCAAAAAAAAAAAAAAAAAAAAAGAAAAGAAAAGAAAAGCAGCAGGAAAAAUCCUGAAUUUCUUGAGGUUCAAUUUCUAACCUCUCAGAUAAUGGGGGGUGGGGGCUUUAAAAUUAGAAUAAAAUAGAGAAAAAUUCCACUUGUUACAUUCCUGUGUUUAUGGAUUAUAUACAUAAAACACUUUUUUUAAUAACAAGAGUUUUACUAUAUUUAAAGAGUGGGAGAAAAAAAUCAUAUUUUGGAGAUAAAUGUACUUCUCUGCUGACACUAGUGACUUUAAAAAGGAGUCUGUACCACAGUGCCUCUCAAAACUUAUUGUGCACACAGAUCACCUGGGGAUUCUUUGAAAAUACAGAUUCUGAUUCAGAGGUCUGAGAUGAAGCUUGAAAUUCUUAAUUUUUCACCAGCAACCAGGUGAUGCUGAUGCUGCCGGUACAGGGGCCACCCUUGGAGUAGUGAGGCUGUUCAAAAUACUGAUGACUCUACUGUGCUGGUUUUCAACGUGCACUGGCUAUAUUUUCUUAAAUAAACACAGGGCAGUACUUGUGCCAAAUUAUGUCAUAGGUUUAUGGUACAAUUUUAGACUACAGUUUUAAAAUGCAAAAUGAAUAUUAGCAACAAAGAAAGUUCCUUCAGAAUCAGCUAAGAGAAGGCAGUGUAGAUAAAAAUAUAAUGCUAACUUCCUUCAUGGGCUUUUACUUACCUGUGUCAACUUAACAACAACAACAAAAGAAACAAAAAACUGGGGCCAGGCACCUGGUGGCUCACGCCUAUAAUCCCAGCACUUUGGGAGGCCAAGGCGGGUGGAUCACGAGGUCAGGAGAUCGAGACCAUCCUGGCUAACAGAGUGAAACCCGUUUCUAUUAAAAAUAGAAAAAUUAGCCAGCCAGGCAUGGUGGCGGGCACCUGUAGUUCCAGCUACUUGGGAGGCUGAGACAGGGGAAUGGCGUG